rnacentral:lncRNA from 1 species
AUGGGAGGCUGUGGCCGCCUCUUCCCCUGGCCAGCUCCUUGCUACUCUUGUCGUAGUGAGCUUGUGCUGUCCCCUAGGAUGGGGGGCAUGGCCCCGGCUGCCAGAUGCCCUACAGCACCUUGGCAUGACCUGCCGCCUCUGCUUCUACACUGGAGCCAGCUACCUCUCCUGCACCUGCCGCUCAAUAAACAGAGUCUGUGCCCCUCAUCCGUUCACGGUCUGUCAGUUGUCUGCUUUGUGUUCCUUGCACCAUCGCGUCUUCGGUCGAAGGCUGAUCGGACCCCGGCCCUCCGAGGGAGCGGCUGGGCUGGGCAGGGGUCACUUAACCACCUAGGCUGGUGGGCAGGGAGAGGCAGGAGCCUGCAGUCCAAGGGGAAAGGAGGCCCGGAGAGCGUGUUCCCUCUCCAGUCUCUUCCUCACUUGAACGAUUUCUACCCUUUCCUCAAAACCUGCUUCAAAUGUCAUCUCCUUUAUGAAGUCUUUCGUCUCCAGGUCAGGGAGCCAUGUGCCCCCUCCUGGGUCCUGCGGCACGAUGAUCGUGUGUCUCUUAUGCCGGUUACCCUUGCUGCAUUAGGAUUUCGGGAAACCCCGUUUCCCUGUCAUCCUGCCCAAUCUGGCAUUCAGGGCCAGGGAAGGACCUGGCCUGGGACUGAGGAGCCCCCACCUCCCUAUCAGGUGUGGAAGUGGCCAGAUAGUUGGGCCGCCCCCACACAGUCUGCCUGGUGGCCCUGGGGGCUCCUUCUCUGGCUGCCCCUAAUACCGCAGUCACUGCUUUCUGCUGCCACAGUCUUGGCCUAUCUGUCAUCUGCCCUAUGGCUGGGACUCCUUUAUCAGAGGGUCUCUCUCCCGUCCACGUACCUGGUCAUCACACCUCCUCGUAGUUCCUGGGGGCCUAGUACUGCUCCUGUCUGGAAACUUCACUUGGGAUUAUCCUGGGCAUCCGAUCUUCAGGGCCUCCAGAGAGGGCAUCUGAGACUCCCAGUCAGCUCGAAGCUGAACAGUCCCUUUUUGUUGAAAGGAAACUAA